rnacentral:rRNA from 1 species
GACGAACGCUGGCGGCGUGGAUUAGGCAUGCAAGUCGAACGGUAUCAUCCUUUCGGGGGUGAGAGAGUGGCGAACUGGUGAGUAACACGUAGGUUAUCUACCCUCAAGACGGGGACAACCCAGGGAAACUUGGGCUAAUACCGGAUGUGAGCAACUUUUAGUUGUUUGAAAGGUGGCGUAAGCUGUCGCUUGGGGAUGAGCCUGCGUCCUAUUAGUUAGUUGGUGAGGUAACGGCUCACCUAGGCAAUGAUAGGUAGGCGGCCUUAACGGGUGGUCGCCCACACUGGGAUUGAGAUACGGCCCAGACUCCUACGGGAGGCAGCAGUCGAGAAUAGUCUACAAUGGUCGGAAGACUGAUAGUGCGACGCCGCGUGAACGAUGAAUCCCUUCGGGGUGUAAAGUUCUUUUAUAUGCGAGCAGUGCUUUCUUAAUAUUAACAGUAUGGGGAGAGAGAUAUUAGCAUAUGAAUAAGCAACGGCUAACUCCGUGCCAGCAGCCCGCGGUAAAACACG